GGCACGCCUGUCCGCAGGGCGCUGGUGCUCGUGCAGGCAGGGCCCCGUGUCCCCGGCUCGGUCCCCCCUCGGAGACCGGCCCCGCUGACCAGUCCAGAGGAGUGGCUCGCAGGCCCCGGACACACCUCCCAGAAGGACCGAGGAGCAGUUCGCAGGGGCAGUCGGGGUGCGCCCCGGAACAGCAGGCCUGUCCUGGGGCGGCGGCUAGAGCAGAGAACCCAGCGCUUCUGCAGGGACCCAGCCUCAGCUGUUAGAGGCCUGGGCUCAGUGGAGGGGCGCUCGCCUGGCACCUGUGCGUACCUGGAUCUGAUCCUCAGCAAUGCAUAUAAUUAAAUAAAAUAAAGGUCCAUCAUCAACUACAAAAUAUAUUCAAAAAAAUGUCUUUUACAGGGAUCUGGAGAGUUUUUACAGUUAUCACCAACAUGUUUCCUGUAACACACAGUUUCUUGCCCGUCCCGGUAUAAGAGACUUGGGUUCCUCCAAGUACCCUCCACGGCGGACAGUCCGCCUACAGGCGGCCGGGAUAGGCUGCAAAACGUCCACAGGGACCACGUUAAAUGAACAAAGACUGAACUGUCACAGAUACUUUUUUAUAAAAGGCCUCCGUGGACUAUUGCUUCAGCCUGACUGAUAAACAAGUUCCUAUGAUGAGCUCACAGAUUC